CGCCCCUCUCUCCUCUCCCUCACUCUGAUCUGAUCUGAAUCCACCGUCGCCCACCCCCACCGCCACCCACCGUCGCCCACCCCCUCCGCCGACGACCCUCACCAUCGAGCCCACGCCCAGAUCCGCGCUCUCUAGUACUCGCCCGCAACCCUCACCCGUGGCUAGGGUUUCGGCCGCCACCCCUAAAUUCGUCGGGAUCUGCCACAUCCAGCGACAGCGAGGCCAGAGGUGGCCGGAUCUGGCACCGGCAAGCCCCUCCCCUCCUUAUUCGCGCACUAUCUCCUCCUCACCUCACCUUGUCUUGUGUUCCCUUUCGGCAGGUGGAUGGGAUGACGACGAUGGCAGGAGGGGCGAACCUCCAUGGGACGGGUCGCCACCAAGGAGAUGGAGCUCUUUCUCCCCUACCACGCAACCUCCCUCCCAGCGCCAAUAGAGCGCCGGCUACCAUGACGCGACAGCGCUGUCGCAAGCCUCGCGGGGCUGUGCAUCUCGUCGUCUGCCACGCCCUACCAGGAGCUACAUCACCCACACGUCUCCUCUGAAGAAGGGGACGAUGGCUUGUGCGUCGGCGUGGUUGGCUCCAGCUCCCCGCCGACCUAUGACUCCACAUGCGUCGCCGUCUUCGACCACAGGUCACCCAUCCUUGAGGAGCAGAAGGAGGGACGCAUCUAGUUGACGAUCAAGGGCCUGCUCUGCUCCUCUUCUUCCUUGACCAUCGGUACCACCAUGUUCCCGGGCUUCCAAGGUGCGCCAGCACACCGCCGCCAUGCCUCCUCUGCUCUCCGGGCUCGGACCAAUCGCUCGCCCCUUCAGGUCCGGCAGCACCGCCGCGUCGACGACGAAGGUGGUGACUGCGGCGGCGAGCGGCGCGAGUUGGUGGCUAUGGGACUCGGCGGCACGGCUCUCGUCAGCGGUGACAGAGGCGGUUCUUAGGCGAGCCGAGCGUGCCUCCUCCCCGUCCCCAAAAUCGCGUCCCUUUAACGCGUUCCAUUUCGAACAGCCGGCGCAUCAGCGUUGUCGGAGCGCAUGAUAGACUACUAAAUGGACAAGUAUCUGCAACGUUCAGCGUCGAAGAUGAUGCUUACCAGAUGUUCUACUACAGCCCCAUCCAUAUCAUCGACAUGAAGUUAGAUUUUGGCCUUCAUUCGUCAAAAGUUGGUGUACAAGGAACUCCAGGUGAAGAAUCUUUAAGUAAAUAAUUUAUAUAGAUCAGGAUCUUAUGUUGUCGAGGUGGCUGCUGUUGUGACCAAAGAUCAGCCUGGAGAUGUGCAUCAUAGUUUUAGUUGAUGUUGCCACUAUGUUUUGGUGCAUGUGUAUUUGAUUGUAUGUACACUUGAUGGACCGUGUAGUCGUGUACGUGCUGUUUGAGUUUCAUUUAGUGAUUUCUGGAUUUGAUCAUUUAAUUCAGAAAAUUAUAUAUUGUUUGC